GAUAGCGUGGCCGAGCGGUCUAAGGCGCUGGAAUUAAGUUCCAGUCUAUUUGGGGACGUGGGUUCGAAUCCCAACGCUAUCA
rnacentral:tRNA from 1 species